CAGAGUUCGUGCCCUCGCGGGUAGAUCUCCCACCCUGCGUUAUCGUUACCUUCGUUGCUUUGGCGGGCCGCCCGGCCCCGGUCAGGCUACCGGCUCACGCUGGUAAGCGCCCGCCAGAGCCCCUUUAAACCCUGUCUUACAGUGUCGUCCGAGUACUAUAUAAUAGUUA
rnacentral:misc_RNA from 1 species